GGUUAAGCGACUAAGCGUACACGGUGGAUGCCCUGGCAGUCAGAGGCGAUGAAGGACGUGCUAAUCUGCGAAAAGCGUCGGUAAGGUGAUAUGAACCGUUACAGCCGGCGAUGUCCGAAUGGGGAAACCCAGUGUGAUUCGUCACACUAUCGUUAACUGAAUACAUAGGUUAACGAGGCGAACCGGGGGAACUGAAACAUCUAAGUACCCCGAGGAAAAGAAAUCAACCGAGAUUCCCCCAGUAGCGGCGAGCGAACGGGGAGCAGCCCAGAGUCUGAAUCAGCUUGUGUGUUAGUGGAACGGUCUGGAAAGUCCGACGGUACAGGGUGAUAGUCCCGUACACCAAAAUGCACAGGCUGUGAACUCGAAGAGUAGGGCGGGACACGUGGUAUCCUGUCUGAAUAUGGGGGGACCAUCCUCCAAGGCUAAAUACUCCUGACUGACCGAUAGUGAACCAGUACCGUGAGGGAAAGGCGAAAAGAACCCCGGCGAGGGGAGUGAAAAAGAACCUGAAACCGUGUACGUACAAGCAGUGGGAGCACCUUCGGGUGUGACUGCGUACCUUUUGUAUAAUGGGUCAGCGACUUAUAUUCUGUAGCAAGGUUAACCGUAUAGGGGAGCCGCAGGGAAACCGAGUCUUAACUGGGCGUUAAGUUGCAGGGUAUAGACCCGAAACCCGGUGAUCUAGCCAUGGGCAGGUUGAAGGUUGGGUAACACUAACUGGAGGACCGAACCGACUAAUGUUGAAAAAUUAGCGGAUGACUUGUGGCUGGGGGUGAAAGGCCAAUCAAACCGGGAGAUAGCUGGUUCUCCCCGAAAGCUAUUUAGGUAGCGCCUCGUGAAUUCAUCUUCGGGGGUAGAGCACUGUUUCGGCUAGGGGGUCAUCCCGACUUACCAACCCGAUGCAAACUACGAAUACCGAAGAAUGUUAUCACGGGAGACACACGGCGGGUGCUAACGUCCGUCGUGAAGAGGGAAACAACCCAGACCGCCAGCUAAGGUCCCAAAGUCACAGUUAAGUGGGAAACGAUGUGGGAAGGCACAGACAGCCAGGAUGUUGGCUUAGAAGCAGCCAUCAUUUAAAGAAAGCGUAAUAGCUCACUGGUCGAGUCGGCCUGCGCGGAAGAUGUAACGGGGCUAAACUGUGCACCGAAGCUGCGGCAGCGACACUAUGUGUUGUUGGGUAGGGGAGCGUUCUGUAAGCCUGCGAAGGUGGCCUGUGAGGGUUGCUGGAGGUAUCAGAAGUGCGAAUGCUGACAUAAGUAACGAUAAUGCGGGUGAAAAGCCCGCACGCCGGAAGACCAAGGGUUCCUGUCCAACGUUAAUCGGGGCAGGGUGAGUCGACCCCUAAGGCGAGGCCGAAAGGCGUAGUCGAUGGGAAACAGGUUAAUAUUCCUGUACUUGGUGUUACUGCGAAGGGGGGACGGAGAAGGCUAUGUUAGCCGGGCGACGGUUGUCCCGGUUUAAGCAUGUAGGCGGAGGUUCCAGGUAAAUCCGGUACCUUUUUAACGCUGAGGUGUGAUGACGAGGCACUACGGUGCUGAAGUAACAAAUGCCCUGCUUCCAGGAAAAGCCUCUAAGCAUCAGGUAACAUUGAAUCGUACCCCAAACCGACACAGGUGGUCAGGUAGAGAAUACCAAGGCGCUUGAGAGAACUCGGGUGAAGGAACUAGGCAAAAUGGUGCCGUAACUUCGGGAGAAGGCACGCUGAUAUGUAGGUGAAGCCCCUGCGGGUGGAGCUGAAAUCAGUCGAAGAUACCAGCUGGCUGCAACUGUUUAUUAAAAACACAGCACUGUGCAAACACGAAAGUGGACGUAUACGGUGUGACGCCUGCCCGGUGCCGGAAGGUUAAUUGAUGGGGUUAUCCGUAAGGAGAAGCUCUUGAGCGAAGCCCCGGUAAACGGCGGCCGUAACUAUAACGGUCCUAAGGUAGCGAAAUUCCUUGUCGGGUAAGUUCCGACCUGCACGAAUGGCGUAAUGAUGGCCAGGCUGUCUCCACCCGAGACUCAGUGAAAUUGAACUCGCUGUGAAGAUGCAGUGUACCCGCGGCAAGACGGAAAGACCCCGUGAACCUUUACUAUAGCUUGACACUGAACAUUGAGCCUUGAUGUGUAGGAUAGGUGGGAGGCUUUGAAGCGUGGACGCCAGUCUGCGUGGAGCCAACCUUGAAAUACCACCCUUUAAUGUUUGAUGUUCUAACGUUGGCCCCUUAUCGGGGUUGCGGACAGUGUCUGGUGGGUAGUUUGACUGGGGCGGUCUCCUCCCAAAGAGUAACGGAGGAGCACGAAGGUUAGCUAAUCCUGGUCGGACAUCAGGAGGUUAGUGCAAUGGCAUAAGCUAGCUUGACUGCGAGCGUGACGGCGCGAGCAGGUGCGAAAGCAGGUCAUAGUGAUCCGGUGGUUCUGAAUGGAAGGGCCAUCGCUCAACGGAUAAAAGGUACUCCGGGGAUAACAGGCUGAUACCGCCCAAGAGUUCAUAUCGACGGCGGUGUUUGGCACCUCGAUGUCGGCUCAUCACAUCCUGGGGCUGAAGUAGGUCCCAAGGGUAUGGCUGUUCGCCAUUUAAAGUGGUACGCGAGCUGGGUUUAGAACGUCGUGAGACAGUUCGGUCCCUAUCUGCCGUGGGCGCUGGAGAAUUGAGGGGGGCUGCUCCUAGUACGAGAGGACCGGAGUGGACGCAUCACUGGUGUUCGGGUUGUCAUGCCAAUGGCAUUGCCCGGUAGCUAAAUGCGGAAGAGAUAAGUGCUGAAAGCAUCUAAGCACGAAACUUGCCCCGAGAUGAGUUCUCCCUGAGACUUUAAGUCUCCUGAAGGAACGUUAAAGACGAUGACGUUGAUAGGUCGGGUGUGUAAGCGUAGCGAUACGUUGAGCUAACCGAUACUAAUGAACCGUGAGGCUUAACCUU
rnacentral:rRNA from 1 species